rnacentral:tRNA from 1 species
ACUUAAGUAGUUUAAAUUAAGAACAGUAGUUUGUGGAACUACAAGUAUAUUAAUUAUUUUAAGUA